GCUGGGUGCGGUGGCGCGUGCCUGUAAUCCCAGCUACUCAGGAGGCUGAGGUGGGAGAAUCGCUUGAACCCGGGAGGUGGAGGUUGCAGUGAGCUGAGAUCUCACCACUGCACUCCAGCCGGGGUGAUAGAGCGAGACUCUGUCUCAA
ensembl:misc_RNA Metazoa_SRP Metazoan signal recognition particle RNA